AUCCACGUUGUCGUAUUUUAAUUUUCUUUCAGAUUUUUGUUAAUACUUUUUUUUUUACCAGAAUGCGGUUGUCAAAAUUCUUACGUUUUAUCAUUAGUUAUUAUUUAAGUUACCGCAUUUGUGUUCAGUUAACAAACUAAAAAAUUCCUUUCUAGGUAGCAUGACUAGAUGAUCCCAGUUUGCAUUUCGACAGAUCGCAUAGUGUUGGCUUAGGAAGUCAAAGUAACUUAAAUUUUAAGAUUGUGCUGGGCAUAUUCACUCAAAAUUAAUUACGCUUGGCUUUUAAAAUCUACACUUGACAAGUUAUUUUGCAAACAUGUGGUCAUGGCAAGGUGGCUACUGUGUUUUAGGUGAUACGGUAGUCGAGAUUGAAUUGUGAAAUCCAGUUAUUGUAGGUGGAAUUAAGAUAUCUAGGCAUUUAACGGAGUUUUCUGAUGGUUUGUUCUGCUGUCCAUGAGGCUGCACUGUACAAUGGAAUUCUAGUGGUACUACUUGUUGCCAAAGCAGUUUGGGCUACCCUAUCUGUACUUUGUGAUUGUGGCAUGAUGGAAUUCAAAUAUGAAUUUGACCAGUGCUUGGUGGUGAUGCAGCUUGAUGACGUGCUACUCCACAUGGAAAGUACCAUUAAAUAUUUAAAAACAAAAUUUAUGUACGUUAACAAAAUACUUUGAAAAAGAACAAGUUUGCAGAAGUUGUGCUUGUGAGUGAAAGUUCUUCUUUUCACUGUGGUUAUUUGGUGGUGGUAAGAAUGCUGGCAGGGAAGUUUUCAUUGUUUCCGUAAGCCUAUGUUAAUUCUCGAUUCUUUUCAGAGUUAGCCUGUUGCUUCAUGGACCAUUUUUCUUGACUGUUAUAUUAGUUUGCUACUGUAGUUCACUCUUUGCUUGAUUGUUUUUUUAGUUUCUGUUAAUAAUAGACUGGUUUCCCAAUCUGUGGUUCACUGUUGUGGAUAUUAAAAUUUAAGCUGAAUGUUUUAGAAUGAUCUAUUGGUUGUCACUUAGAUAGCUUAAUUGGCAUUUGGACAAAGCGCAAUGUGCUUGCUUGUCUUGAUCACAUUGUCUUAUCCUGUGGUGGUUUUCUUUGGGUGAGUUAAAUACUAUAUGAUAUUUUAAGGUGUGAUUAACUCUUAUUUAAUUCUAUCCUAAAGUUUGGCAUGUUUUACAAAACCGAUUAUUCAUGUGUUAUGAAUUGAGAAAUUUCCUUUCUACGUAUUCCAUGUGAUAACUUUUUAUAGGUAGAAUAAUUAUAUAACUUGGUUUUGACAAGGUCUGUGAAGCUUGUUUGCCCUUUCGAUUUUGUUACAUGCCGUGGUGGUGAGUUUUAUGUGAAUUUUUUCAUGUGUUGAUUAUGCAUUUGCGUUGUUACCAGAUAUUCGCUGUUCCUGCUUGGUGGUCAUUGAAUGAGAAUUUUUUGUCAGUUGUGGGAAUUGAUUUUCUUUUUAUGGUCUUAGAUCUGUAGGUACUACUUGGGUUGUCCUCGUGUGGACAUCGCACAAAUGUGGGGAUGACCAUUUGACUUGGUUGAUAAUUGGGAUAACAUGGUGCUAUGUCAUCCUCUUGACAGUGGCUGGUGUUAUGUUCUGACAAUUGAAGUAUCCACGAAGUAACCGAGUAGUUUUACAUGGUAAAUUUGGAAUUAGUUAAUUUGUUGGAAGUUAUUUAUUUGUGGUUAAUCAUUAAAUUUCUUUUUUUACUGUUUGAUAUGUGUGUACUUGGCAUCCGUCUUAGUCGAAGAGUUCGACAAAAUGGGACUGACGUGUUAGAUGUAGAAAUAUAUCCUUAAUGUUGAAGACGAUUCUGAAGAUAUUCUUUUAGUAAAAUUAACAGUACAUCCUUGUCAUAUUCUUUGGCCCUGUUUUACUUCACUUGUGAUAAGCCUGUGUUGUGGCAGGCCGUUCGGUGGUUAUAAGAGAAAUACUUGGGAGUGAUGUCCGUUGUAUGGACAUGAUGUGUACUCCAUUUGUAAUGUUAUCAGGGGGAUGAAGGGUCCAAGUUCAAUGCAAUCAGCGUGGAAAGAGUAUUUUCACAUGAUAGAAUUUAUGUAAAAAUGUUAAUGUGGAAAUUUCUUUAUUUGUAAAGUCUCAUGUUGUAUUAUGUGUUGGAAAAAAUCCCUGAUAAUCGACACACCACACUUAUUUCUUGUUAAUAACUUGUUUUUUAAAUGUAUAUCGAAUUGAUAAUAAACAUAAUUUCAAAUAUAA